UACGGAGGGUGCAAGCGUUACUCGGAAUCACUGGGCGUAAAGAGCGGGUAGGUAAGUCAGAAGUGAAAUCCAAUAGCUCAACUAUUGAACUGCUUUUGAAACUGAUUACCUAGAAUAUGGGAGAGGUAGAUGGAAUUUCUGGUGUAGGGGUAAAAUCCGUAGAGAUCAGAAGGAAUACCGAUUGCGAAGGCGAUCUACUGGAACAUUAUUGACGCUGAGACGCGAAAGCGUGGGGAGCAAACAGG
rnacentral:rRNA from 1 species